GGAGGCUUACACAUGCAAGUCGAGGGGUACAGGUCACUUCGGUGAUGCUGACGACCGGCGCACGGGUGAGUAACGCGUAUGGAACCUACCUGAAACAGGGGGAUAGCUUCCGGAAACGGGGAUUAAUACCCCAUACGAUUCAUUUGUGGCCUCACAAAUGGAUAAAAGCUACGGCGGUUUCAGAUGGUCAUGCGUACCAUUAGUUAGUUGGUGAGGUAAAGGCUCACCAAGGCGAUGAUGGUUAGGGGUCCUGAGAGGGUAGUCCCCCACACUGGUACUGAGACACGGACCAGACUCCUACGGGAGGCAGCAGUGAGGAAUAUUGGUCAAUGGGCGCUAGCCUGAACCAGCCAUGCCGCGUGCAGGAAGACGGCCCUACGGGUUGUAAACUGCUUUUCUGCAGGAAGAAUAUAUAGUCUUAGGGCUAUAUUGACGGUACUGCAGGAAUAAGCAUCGGCUAACUCCGUGCCAGCAGCCGCGGUAAUACGGAGGAUGCAGGCGUUAUCCGGAUUCAUUGGGUUUAAAGGGUGCGCAGGCUGUAAAGCAAGUCAGUGGUGAAAGCCCUGGGCUAUACUCAGGGAUUGCCAUUGAAACUGUUUUACUAGAGUGUAGUAGAGGACGGCGGAAUGAGUUGUGUAGCGGUGAAAUGCAUAGAUAUAACUCAGAACGCCUAUUGCGUAGGCAGCUUGUCUAUACUACAAUUGACGCUGAGGCACGAACGCGUGGGGAGC
rnacentral:rRNA from 1 species